AGGGGCAAAUAAACAGGAAGCAAAGAGGUUAAGUGUUGAGGUGAAAGUGAAAUUCUCCCUUCAUCACCUAAGAAGGCACUCCUCAGUGCAGAAGAUGCUCCACGUUCAGCAGGCCCAAGCAAAUCGCCGAGUGUCUACCAGGAGUUGGAAGAAACAGGAGUCCAUAUUUGUGUUGGAAAAGCUGUGCAUAUUUCAGAUGACUGAUAAGAGAGUACUGAUCUGUCCUCGGCCUUGUA